GAAAUCAAGUGCCCCAUCUGCCCUGGCUCAGCUAACCCCAAACUCCUGGUCUCUGUGCUGUGUGGACUCCUCCUGGCCAAGGCCCUGAUGCUAUGAGUCCUGUUUGUGUUCCUGACCUGCAGGUGCCACAGGACAGCAAUGACGGAGGUUUCUGAUUGUAUUAGCCCAGCCUUGCCCCAGGACCCUUGGGUGCGUGAGCCACAGCGCGGAUCCAGGAUGAAUCCCAGUUCUUCCCCUGCCCAGCUACUGGGAGCCGCCUUAAGCAUUGUGCCCCACCUCCCCGUGAGGAAAGGCCAGCGCUAAGCCUAUUGGCGAGAACUUUCAGUCCCUGAUCUCCCCGGUGGUGACCCCUCACCCCUGCCCGGAGCCCUCUUACAUCUACUUCCGCUGCCCUGCCUUUCGCCAUUGGGAAGACCUGGGGCGGGGGUUUCUGUAUCCGGGUCAACGCCCAGCUCAGCAUCUUCAGCUGUGCCAGCGCUCGUCCCCAGCACUCUGUGGUUUUCUCAGCCCCACCUCAGCAGGUCUCCAGGAUCCCUCACAUUUUCCCUGUUUGUUGCCUGUGGUCUGCCCAAGAGUCCUAUCAGUUUCCUCUUGUGCUUAAUUAAAUUCAACCUCUAAACUGAAAUGUGUCAGGGGCAACUGAGCAAGAGGGCAGAUGUAUCCCCUCAACCUCCUCCCCUUCCACCCUAAAUGAGAGAGAAAUGACUUAAAAAUAAACGAUAAAAUUGAAACUAA